GACGAACGCUGGCGGCGUGCCUAAUACAUGCAAGUAGAACGCUGAAGGAGGAGCUUGCUCUUCUGGAUGAGUUGCGAACGGGUGAGUAACGCGUAGGUAACCUGCCUGGUAGCGGGGGAUAACUAUUGGAAACGAUAGCUAAUACCGCAUAAGAGUAGAUGUUGCAUGACAUUUACUUAAAAGGUGCAAUUGCAUCACUACCAGAUGGACCUGCGUUGUAUUAGCUAGUUGGUGGGGUAACGGCUCACCAAGGCGACGAUACAUAGCCGACCUGAGAGGGUGAUCGGCCACACUGGGACUGAGACACGGCCCAGACUCCUACGGGAGGCAGCAGUAGGGAAUCUUCGGCAAUGGACGGAAGUCUGACCGAGCAACGCCGCGUGAGUGAAGAAGGUUUUCGGAUCGUAAAGCUCUGUUGUAAGAGAAGAACGAGUGUGAGAGUGGAAAGUUCACACUGUGACGGUAUCUUACCAGAAAGGGACGGCUAACUACGUGCCAGCAGCCGCGGUAAUACGUAGGUCCCGAGCGUUGUCCGGAUUUAUUGGGCGUAAAGCGAGCGCAGGCGGUUAGAUAAGUCUGAAGUUAAAGGCUGUGGCUUAACCAUAGUACGCUUUGGAAACUGUUUAACUUGAGUGCAAGAGGGGAGAGUGGCAUUCCAUGUGUAGCGGUGAAAUGCGUAGAUAUAUGGAGGAACACCGGUGGCGAAAGCGGCUCUCUGGCUUGUAACUGACGCUGAGGCUCGAAAGCGUGGGGAGCAAACAGG
rnacentral:rRNA from 1 species